CCAAAGGCUCUUCUAAGAGCCACCCACUUCGACUCCGAAAGAGCUG
rfam:Charadrius vociferus contig8123, whole genome shotgun sequence.